GACGAACGCUGGCGGCGUGCCUAAUACAUGCAAGUCGAACGCUUCUUUUCCGCCGAACUUCGGUUCACUGGAAAAGAGGAGUGGCGAACGGGUGAGUAACACGUGGGUAACCUGCCCAUCAGAGGGGGAUAACACUUGGAAACAGGUGCUAAUACCGCAUAAUGCUUUUUCUCGCAUGAGAGAAAGCUGAAAGGCGCUUUUGCGUCACUGAUGGAUGGACCCGCGGUGCAUUAGCUAGUUGGUGAGGUAACGGCUCACCAAGGCAACGAUGCAUAGCCGACCUGAGAGGGUGAUCGGCCACACUGGGACUGAGACACGGCCCAGACUCCUACGGGAGGCAGCAGUAGGGAAUCUUCGGCAAUGGACGAAAGUCUGACCGAGCAACGCCGCGUGAGUGAAGAAGGUUUUCGGAUCGUAAAACUCUGUUGUUAGAGAAGAACAAGGAUGAGAAGAGAAUGUUCAUCCCUUGACGGUAUCUAACCAGAAAGCCACGGCUAACUACGUGCCAGCAGCCGCCGUAAAAC
rnacentral:rRNA from 1 species